rnacentral:rRNA from 1 species
UACGAAGGGGGCUAGCGUUGCUCGGAAUUACUGGGCGUAAAGCGCACGUAGGCGGACUCUUAAGUCAGGGGUGAAAUCCCGGAGCUCAACUCCGGAACUGCCUUUGAUACUGAGAGCCUUGAGUUCGGGAGAGGUGAGUGGAACUGCGAGUGUAGAGGUGAAAUUCGUAGAUAUUCGCAAGAACACCAGUGGCGAAGGCGGCUCACUGGCCCGAUACUGACGCUGAGGUGCGAAAGCGUGGGGAGCAAACAGG